GAGUUUGAAACCUGGCUCAGAUUGAACGCUGGCGGCAGGCUUAACACAUGCAAGUCGAGCGGAGUGAUGGUGCUUGCACUAUCACUUAGCGGCGGACGGGUGAGUAAUGCUUAGGAAUCUGCCUAUUAGUGGGGGACAACAUUUCGAAAGGAAUGCUAAUACCGCAUACGUCCUACGGGAGAAAGCAGGGGAUCUUCGGACCUUGCGCUAAUAGAUGAGCCUAAGUCGGAUUAGCUAGUUGGUGGGGUAAAGGCCUACCAAGGCGACGAUCUGUAGCGGGUCUGAGAGGAUGAUCCGCCACACUGGGACUGAGACACGGCCCAGACUCCUACGGGAGGCAGCAGUGGGGAAUAUUGGACAAUGGGCGCAAGCCUGAUCCAGCCAUGCCGCGUGUGUGAAGAAGGCCUUAUGGUUGUAAAGCACUUUAAGCGAGGAGGAGGCUACUGAAGUUAAUACCUUCAGAUAGUGGACGUUACUCGCAGAAUAAGCACCGGCUAACUCUGUGCCAGCAGCCGCGGUAAUACAGAGGGUGCAAGCGUUAAUCGGAUUUACUGGGCGUAAAGCGCGCGUAGGCGGCUAAUUAAGUCAAAUGUGAAAUCCCCGAGCUUAACUUGGGAAUUGCAUUCGAUACUGGUUAGCUAGAGUGUGGGAGAGGAUGGUAGAAUUCCAGGUGUAGCGGUGAAAUGCGUAGAGAUCUGGAGGAAUACCGAUGGCGAAGGCAGCCAUCUGGCCUAACACUGACGCUGAGGUGCGAAAGCAUGGGGAGCAAACAGGAUUAGAUACCCUGGUAGUCCAUGCCGUAAACGAUGUCUACUAGCCGUUGGGGCCUUUGAGGCUUUAGUGGCGCAGCUAACGCGAUAAGUAGACCGCCUGGGGAGUACGGUCGCAAGACUAAAACUCAAAUGAAUUGACGGGGGCCCGCACAAGCGGUGGAGCAUGUGGUUUAAUUCGAUGCACGCGAAGAACCUUACCUGGCCUUGACAUAGUAAGAACUUUCCAGAGAUGGAUUGGUGCCUUCGGGAACUUACAUACAGGUGCUGCAUGGCUGUCGUCAGCUCGUGUCGUGAGAUGUUGGGUUAAGUCCCGCAACGAGCGCAACCCUUUUCCUUAUUUGCCAGCGAGUAAUGUCGGGAACUUUAAGGAUACUGCCAGUGACAAACUGGAGGAAGGCGGGGACGACGUCAAGUCAUCAUGGCCCUUACGGCCAGGGCUACACACGUGCUACAAUGGUCGGUACAAAGGGUUGCUACCUAGCGAUAGGAUGCUAAUCUCAAAAAGCCGAUCGUAGUCCGGAUUGGAGUCUGCAACUCGACUCCAUGAAGUCGGAAUCGCUAGUAAUCGCGGAUCAGAAUGCCGCGGUGAAUACGUUCCCGGGCCUUGUACACACCGCCCGUCACACCAUGGGAGUUUGUUGCACCAGAAGUAGGUAGUCUAACCGCAAGGAGGACGCUUACCACGGUGUGGCCGAUGACUGGGGUGAAGUCGUAACAAGGUAACCGUAA
rnacentral:rRNA from 1 species